AUUGAACGCUGGCGGCAUGCCUUACACAUGCAAGUCGAACGGUAACAGGUCUUCGGAUGCUGACGAGUGGCGAACGGGUGAGUAAUACAUCGGAACGUGCCUAGUAGUGGGGGAUAACUACUCGAAAGAGUGGCUAAUACCGCAUGAGAUCUACGGAUGAAAGCAGGGGAUCGCAAGACCUUGUGCUACUAGAGCGGCCGAUGGCAGAUUAGGUAGUUGGUGGGAUAAAAGCUUACCAAGCCGACGAUUUGUAGCUGGUCUGAGAGGACGAUCAGCCACACUGGGACUGAGACACGGCCCAGACUCCGACGGGAGGCAGCAGUGGGGAAUUUUGGACAAUGGGCGAAAGCCUGAUCCAGCAAUGCCGCGUGCAGGAUGAAGGCCUUCGGGUUGUAAACUGCUUUUAUACGGAACGAAAAGCCCCGGGUUAAUACCCUGGGGUCAUGACGGUACCGUAAGAGUAAGCACCGGCUAACUACGUGCCAGCCGCCGCCGUAA
rnacentral:rRNA from 1 species